rnacentral:rRNA from 1 species
GAUGAACGCUGACAGAAUGCUUAACACAUGCAAGUCAACUUGAACUUCGGUUUGGGUGGCGGACGGGUGAGUAACGCGUAAAGAACUUGCCUCACAGCUAGGGACAACAUUUGGAAACGAAUGCUAAUACCUGAUAUUAUGAUUUUAGGGCAUCCUAGAAUUAUGAAAGCUAUAUGCGCUGUGAGAGAGCUUUGCGUCCCAUUAGCUAGUUGGAGAGGUAACGGCUCACCAAGGCGAUGAUGGGUAGCCGGCCUGAGAGGGUGAGCGGCCACAAGGGGACUGAGACACGGCCCUUACUCCUACGGGAGGCAGCAGUGGGGAAUAUUGGACAAUGGACCAAGAGUCUGAUCCAGCAAUUCUGUGUGCACGAUGAAGUUUUUCGGAAUGUAAAGUGCUUUCAGUUGGGAAGAAAAAAAUGACGGUACCAACAGAAGAAGUGACGGCUAAAUACGUG